UACAGAGGGGGCAAGCGUUGUUCGGAAUUACUGGGCGUAAAGGGCUCGUAGGCGGCCAACUAAGUCGGACGUGAAAUCCCCAGGCUCAACCUGGGAACUGCGUCCGAUACUGGAUGGCUUGAAUCCGGGAGAGGGAUGCAGAAUUCCAGGUGUAGCGGUGAAAUGCGUAGAUAUCAGGAAGAACACCCGUGGCGAAAGCGGCUCUCUGGAACGGUACUGACGCUGAGACGCGAAAGCGUGGGGAGCGAACAGG
rnacentral:rRNA from 1 species